CCCUUAGAUGUUCUGGGCCGCACGCGCGCUACACUGACGAAUGCAACGAGCUUAUAACCUUGGCCGAAAGGUCUGGGUAAUCUCCAAAUUUCGUCGUGAUGGGGAUAGAUUAUUGCAAUUAUUAAUCUUCAACGAGGAAUGCCUAGUAAGCGCAAGUCAUCAGCUUGCGUUGAUUACGUGCCUGCCCUUUGUACACACCGCCCGUCGCUCCUACCGAUUGAAUGGUCCGGUGAAGCGUUCGGACCGUGGCCUUUGGACGGUUCGCCGUCUGUUGGCUGCGGGAAGUUCGUUAAACCUUAUCAUUUAGAGGAAGGAGAAGUCGUAACA
rnacentral:rRNA from 1 species